CGGCCCACUGCUCCCUGGUUGCAAGUCCCGUGGGGACCCUUAGGAGUAAAAAGUUCAUGCCCGGGAAUGGGCAUGGGGUGCUCUGGAGAGAGCCUGUGCUGAGUCUUUGUCCUGAGGGCUUUUUCUCAUUAUUAUUUCUUCUGAAGGAACAGGUGCCUGUGGAUUCUCCGUGCGGACGGCACAGGACCAGGGCCCUAGGAGAGGCAGGCACUGCAGGGCGAAGAGUCAGAGAUCCAGGGACAUUCAGAGCGUAUGGAAACCUCUUCUAAAAAGACAGGGAGCAUGCUCCUUCCAGAGAAGAGAGGAUCUGACACGGGCACGGGAUUUAUGAAUGCUGCGUGCGGGCCUGGUGUGAUGGGGACAGCUUUCCUGCAAUGGGACUGCGGAGCAGCACCUCAGCUGGCCUGGGUGGCAGGCACCAAUCUCCCCAUCGUUUGAUCUCUGAGCACUGAUUAGUGUUGUUCCCUAAAGCCUUCACAGGUCCAGAAAAUGACCCGCAGAUAAGGCAAAGUGGUGUGGCCGAAUAACACAGCGGUACAUAGUUCAGGUAUUUUCUCCAGUUUGCAAUUUCUAACAAAUGGCUAAAUGUUGUUGCCCACUUACUUGGCUAUAUAUGGCAGUUUUGCUAAUUUAAUACCUACUGUUACACAACAUCAGUGCUUGUAAGCUUGAUGCAUAACCUACAACACAUACACACAUACAUAUGUAUGUGGGUAAUAUUUAUAUUGAUCUUUAGUUGAAUGUUAAUUACCUAUUACUUCUCUA